GCCCGGCCGCCGCCGAGCUCUCCUCUCCCCGCCGCAGGAAAGCCGGGCUGGAGCGAAAACCUCUCCUUUGUCAGCGGGGCAGAGUUCACGAGGGGGGCCCCCUGCCCACCUUCGCGUUUCCUUAGAUGAGGCGGGGAGAGACAGGAUGCGGGGAAGGAGGAGCGGGCAACUUCUGAAUUGAAAGGAAAAACUUGAGUAGAACUAUGAAGAUAUGCAUCUAAAUGUUGCAGCUGUGUAAUGGGAACCACACAGUAACACAGAUGUGAAGGUAUCAUUUCUCUCUGGAGCGUUAGCGCCCAGCCCAGACUUUGGGCUGCCUCACUGCUGCUGUACGCCUUCUGAAGCCUGCGGAAAGCUACGGGAAUGCACGGUCCGUUUCGUUCCAAAGUACUUGAAAGAGGAUUGCUCUAUGAAGGAGGCUAUCCUGGUGGUCCUCAUGUUCCCCAGAGUGUGAAUUUGAAAUACAGGAAAUGGAUAAAUCCAGAUCUUAUCCCAGAGAUACAUAAAAUGGACUACAAACCGCCAUUGGCCACUUCACUUUUACCUCUCGUCCAUGAAGAAACGAAAGAACUGCUUGAGACAAGGCUUCCCCCACUGUUGGCAGAAGAUCUGUCGUUUGCCGCCUACCUGAUACUUGUAUAAUUACCCGUGAGCAUGAUGUGCUCCGAGAUGACAGGCUGUGGUACAAGAAGCGGUUAGAGGACGACAACGUAAAAGUGACCUGGUACCACGUGGAAGGCGGCUUCCACCGUCCACUGGGAUUUUUUGGUUAUGCUAUUUUCUCUUUUCCAUCAUCAAGUAGAACAGCAAACCAUACUGUAAACUUUAUAAAAGGCUAUUAAAAUGUUUUCUUGAAUACAGUGAACUGGUAUGCAGACAGUGUGUAUUUCAAUUAACUAUUUACUAGCUAGUUGUACAUUAGAAUCGAUGGAAAAAAUAAGAAGUGAAUAUUAGCAUGGCCUGCUGAAUUCUGGUUUUCAAUUGCUAUUACUUGGGAACAUGAUGUAUUUUUAACCUUUUUCUUUAACCCCAUUAAUUGGUAUGCUUGUUUUGCUGUGCUCUUCUUACAUUGUAAAAAUUUUUGUUAUCUUCUUAUGCCAAAGAAUAAAAACUCACCAUAGCAAAAACCA